rnacentral:misc_RNA from 1 species
AAGUCGUAACAAGGUUUCCGUAGGUGAACCUGCGGAAGGAUCAUUAUUGAAUAUUUGAAGGAGUUGUUUGCUGGCCCCUCCAGGCAUGUGCACGCUCCGUUCAAAAUCCAACCUUCAUACACCUGUGCACUAUUUGUAGGGUUGCGGUCGAAAGGCCUGCUCUCUAUGUCAUCACAAACUCUGUAGUAUGUGUAGAAUGUCAUUGCGUAUAACGCAUCUUUAUACAACUUUCAGCAACGGAUCUCUUGGCUCUC